CAGAAAGAGGCGGGGGAAUUCUGGGUGUGCGCGGCCAUGGAGCGCGCGCAUGCGCAGCAGCUCCCGCUGCUGAAUAGCUGAGAGGCGCACUGGGGCGCAAGCUGGGCUCGGAGUGCAGCGGGGUCAGGAUGGACGAGGACGUGUUGCACCCUGAAGAGCCUCAUCAUCGGCAAGAGUGCGGUGGGCAAGUACAGUCGGCUGUGGAAGAACUCCUGGAUCUUGUGACUGCUGGAAAAUUUCGCUUUAGUGUAAGUGGUCCACAGCUGAAGCAGUCGGACCACCUUUGAAAAUAAAGUAUAAUUGUUAUUUCUCAUUUUGCCACAUCCUAUGGAGACAAAAGAUUAGUGUUGUCUUUUCAUUUUUGAUUUUUUCCUUGGGGAAAAUAAUAUUGACAGUGGAGUUGACUAUAAGGUAAGACAUGGAUCUAGGUGGAUGUUGCUAGAGGGUUGUGAUUUCAUCCAGGUCUUGGAACAGAGUUCUCCAGAUGAAUUCAUUCUUGCCCUCUGAUUAUGAGUAGGUUAUGUUCAAGGCCGUCCUGAUCCUUAAACCGCAUUUACACUCCAGGAGCUAUAAUCAGUUUCAUAUUUUAGCUAUAUCUUCUGAUACACGUAUCUUUUUUUUUUUUUGAGACUGAGUCUUGCUCUGUUGCCCAGGCUGGAGUGCUGUGGCGAGAUCUCACCUCACGGCAACCUCCGCCUCCUGGGGUCAAGCGAUUCUCCUUCCUCAGCCUCCUGAGUAGCUGGGAUUACAAGUGUGUGUCACCACGCCCAGUUAAUUUUUGUGUUUUUAGUAGAGACAGGGUUUCACCAUGUUGGCCAGGCUGGUCUCGAACUCCUGACCUCUAGUAAUCCACCCGCCUCAGCCUCCCAAAGUGCUGGGACUACAGGCGUGAGCCACCGCGCCUGCUGAUACAUAUCUUUCAAAUAACUUGUUAUUCAUGUAAGAUUUUACAAAUUGAGGUAUCCUUAUACAAAAUAGAAUGAAAGCUUUCCUCGUGUAACUUUUAAAAUUACGAAGUUUUAUACGUAUGUAACCUGCACAUUCUGCACAUGUAUCCCAGAACUUAAAGUAUAAAUAAAUACAUAAAUAAAUAAGAUUACAAAGUCUUACUUUUUUAGCUACUUCAGGAUUUUAAAGCUUACUAUGUAAUAGAUUCUGAAAUUUUUUGUAUUUUUAAAGUUUGACAAUACAUUUUUCCAGUACUCCUCACUUAAUGUACUCUAUGUCUACUAUAGUCAGAGGGAUUUGCACAUACCAAGGAAUAGAAUAAUGAAACACUAUGAGUAAGCAAACCAGUAUGAUUUGUGUGUGUGUGUGUGUGUGUGUGUGUAAAAGGGAUGAAUAAAAUUAUUUACAUGAUCAUCUGUUAUUGCACGUACAUACUUGAGGGUUAAAAAGUUAAUGUAAUAAAAAUUGCCUUAAUAGGAAUUCAUAACCUCGUGAUCUUUCUUUUUCAUUUCUCUCUUUUUUCCUUGACAUAUGGUUCUCAUUUAAGUUCAGACAUAUGAAAUUGGCAUUUUUGAAGUCACGAAUGGUUGGUUGUCAUUUCAUGUAGUUCAACCCAAUACACGCAAUUGGGUUGAAAUUGGUUAGCACUUUAUGUAAAUGUAUUGCAUGGGUGACAAGUUAGGGUGGUUAAAAUUUUCUGGAAAGUUAACUGGAGUAUAUAAAUGAGUUUGGUUCCCUGUCCCCCCUGUGCCACCGCUUUUUUUUUUUUUUGAGAUAGGGUCUUGUUCUGUCACUUGCUGGAGCGCAGUGGUGUGAUCACGGCUCACUGCAGCCUUGACUUCCUGGGCUCAAUCGAUCCUGCCACCUCAGCCUCCUGAGUAGCUGGGACUAUAGGGACGAAUCACCAUGCCUGACUAGGGUUUUUUAUAGAGACAAGUUCUUGGCUGUGUUGCCUAGGCUGAUCUCGAACUCCUGAGCUCAAUGGAUCUUCCCUCAAUGGAUCCUUGCAAAAUGCUGGGAUCAUAGGCAUAAGCCACCAUACCCGGCUCUACUUAAAAAAUUUUUUUUUGUAGAUGGGAUUUCCCUAUGUUGCCCAAGCUAUUCUGAAACUCAUGGGCUCAUGCCAUCCGCCAGCCUUGGCCUCUCAAGAGUGCUGGGAUUACAGGCAUGAGGCAUCGCACUCAGCUGAGAGUCCCUUUUUAGAAUAAGUUCUGUUGAAUGGGUUUAUCAGUCUCUCUAGUUCACGCCCCAGAAACAAAUUGUAUUUAGGCCUGAUCUUUUUUAAACUUUUCCCUCAAUGCCUAAUGGUGGAUUAUCAAUUGCUCACUGCAAAAUUUUGACAGUUUACCUCUUUCGUGAAAGGAUUGCAUUUAGUGAGAAAGUUGUCUUAUUUGUCUGGCUAGAUACACAUUAUUGUCCUGUGUGAUAUGCUAUGGAAAAGAACCUUAAACACGUAGUCACCUUUCUGGAUAAGAAUAAAUGACUCCACUAAAAUAGAAGUCUAUAUUUAAAGUGAGUUAGUACAGAAACAUUUGUCAUGGAUGUGAUCUUAAAGGGUUGUUUUUACCAAGUUUGUUCUGUUUCUUUACAGAGCUGGAACUAGUGGAAGUGAAAUAGCACUCAUGUUGUUGGGGAAAUAUUGCACAAUGA
ensembl:lncRNA